rnacentral:rRNA from 1 species
CAGUAGCCACGGUAAUACGAAGGUCCCGAGCGUUGUUCGGAAUCACUGGGCGUAAAGGGAGCGUAGGCGGCGUGGUAAGUCAGAUGUGAAAUCCCGGGGCUCAACCCCGGAACUGCAUCCGAUACUGCCGUGCUAGAGGAUUGGAGAGGUAGCUGGAAUUCUUGGUGUAGCAGUGAAAUGCGUGGAGAUCAAGAGGAACACUCGUGGCGAAAGCGAGCUACUGGACAAUAUCUGACGCUGAGGCUCGAAGGCCAGGGUAGCGAAAGGGAUUAGAUACCCCAGUAGUCCCUGUCUCUUAUAC